rnacentral:rRNA from 1 species
GACGAACGCUGGCGGCGUGCUUAACACAUGCGAGUCGAACGGAAAGGCCCUGCUUUUGUUGGUUGCUCGAGUGGCGAACGGGUGAGUAACACGUGAGUAACCUGCCCUUUACUUUGGGAUAACUUCAGGAAACUGGGGCUAAUACCGGAUAGAAGCUCCUGCUGCAUGGUGGUGGUUGGAAAGUUUCGGCGGUUGGGGAUGUACUCGCGGGUUACCAGCCUUUUGGUCGGGUAGUGGCUUACCAAGGCUUUGACGGGUAGCCGGCCUGGGAGGGUGAACAGGCACAUUGGUACUGAGGGAGGGCCAAGACUGCUACGGGAGGCAGCAGUGGGGAGUCUUGCACAAUGGGCGGAAGCGUGAUGCAGAAACGCCGCGUUCGGGAUGACCGCUUUCGGGUGGAAAACAGCUUUCGAAGGUGACGUAGCGUGAGUGACGGUAAUGGGUAAAGAAGCAACGGCUAACUACGUG